CCUACGGGCGGCAGCAGUGAGGAAUAUUGGUCAAUGGGCUGACGCCUGAACCAGCCAAGUCGCGUGAGGGAAGACUGUCCUAUGGGUUGUAAACCUCUUUUGUCAGGGAGCAACGCCGGCUACGCGUAGCCGGACUGAGAGUACCUGAAGAAAAAGCAUCGGCUAACUCCGGGCCAGCAGCCGCGGUAAUACGGAGGAUGCGAGCGUUAUCCGGAUUUAUUGGGUUUAAAGGGUGCGUAGGCGGACUGCCAAGUCAGCGGUAAAAUCGCGGGGCUCAACCCCGCUCCGCCGUUGAAACUGGCGGUCUUGAGUGGGCGAGAAGUAUGCGGAAUGCGUGGUGUAGCGGUGAAAUGCAGAGAUAUCACGCAGAACUCCGAUUGCGAAGGCAGCAUACCGGCGCCCAACUGACGCUGAGGCACGAAAGCGUGGGUAUCGAACAGGAUUAGAUACCCUUGUAGUC
rnacentral:rRNA from 1 species